rnacentral:lncRNA from 1 species
AACACUGUUCCUCUAGCCUAGGUGAUAGAAUAUUCAAUAAAUCAAUGGGGAAAAUAAGUUAUAUGAAAAAAAAAACAUUUUUAAACGAUGCUGUUAUUAAAUCCCUUGUGUGCCGUGUUUCCAGUUCACGCGCGCGCAAACACACACACACACACAUACGCCCGCCUUAACCACUUACAAGCAAGGUUCUAGAAGCAGGACGGUGGAAUUCUGGGAUGAAGAAGAAGAAUUUGCUACCUGUUUUGGAAGAACUAGCAGAGUGAGGGCACAGUGUCCUGUUUUACAGAUACUUGCUCAGCCACAUUCAUCACUGCUCUGUUCAUAACAGUUGGAAAUUGGAAACAACCUAAAUGCUUUCUCUCUCUGAUUUGUGGAUUCUAGAUCUGAAUCUUAAGAGUGAUCAGAAUAUAGGAUGGAUUGUCCAUGUGGAUGUUGGAUGUUAGCAAAUGCUCAAUACACAAGAAUAACAUAAAGGGGCAGACUGAAGCUGAUAACCCAAUUGCUACAUUACAAGUAAACAUGAGUAAACUCAAGAGACUCAACAAGCCUUUUAUUUCAGGAAGCAACCAAGCUGUUCAAAGAUUGGAGAGAAGAAAGGUGCAGAAGUAAAUGGCACUUUAUGAAGAUUCAGUGGACUUCAGGGAAGACAUUAUGAUGACCUAAUAGCAGAAAACAGUUGUUAAAAUCUAAUGUUAACUACUGGUGCUUAUUUUUCUGUCUGUGUUCUUCAUUCAUGAGGUGUAUUGACUGCCCAACCCAUGAAAAAUGAAAAAGAAAAUGUUCUCCCACGGAAAGAAGGUUUUUGUUUUGUUUUGUUUUGUUUUGUUUUGUUUUGUUUUGUUUGUGGAAUAAAGGUUGAAGCC